rnacentral:lncRNA from 1 species
UGAAAGAAUACCAUGCUAUUGUUUGAGGAGAGUGCACAGUUAUGUACUUGAAAAUGUAUCAAUAAACCAAUUAGACACAUUUGGGCAGACUUGAGACAACAUUAUGAACAGUAAUUCUGUGGUUCAUUGGAUCCGUCUAAAACUUUGCACAUACACUGCUGCCAUCUAGUGGCCAUAAUCUAAAUUGCACCUAAACUGCAAUAAUACAUUAUGGCCUUUCUCUUGUAUUUCAAAGAUUAAAAAAUAAAAAUAAAACACGUUUUUUCAUUGUAUUAUCUUUUACCAGAUCUAAGGUGUUCUAUUCUCCUACAUUAAUUUCACAUUUCCACACACUUCAAAAGGGUUUCCUUUCAAAUGGUAUCAAGAAUAUACAUAUUGUCACAGUAUCCACCGAGGAUGGCGCCCCUCCUCAGUCGGGCGGCGCUCCGCGGUCGUCGUCGCCGGUCUACUAGCUACCACCGAUCUAUGUUUCUGUGUUCUUUGGUUUUUGUCUGCUCUAGCCCGCACCUGUCUCUUGUCUGUCAUUAGUGGGGAGGUAUUUAGUUUGUUUCUUUGGGUUCGUCUUUGUGCGGGAUUGUUUGUUUGUCAGCGGGCAGGUCUGUGUACGUUCUGUGCUUUUUGCACAUUUUUCCCCAGCGGAUUCUCGCUGGAUGAAUAUUGCAUUUGCCGGGCUGCGCCCCGUGAGUAUUUUUGUUUACUGUGUUCCCGUGUGGUCUCUGGACGCACCCUAUGCCCUUUUGUUACGCCGAGUGGUUUUUCGGUGCAAUAAAUAUAUCAUUCUAUGACACUA